rnacentral:rRNA from 1 species
AUUGAACGCUGGCGGCAGGCCUAACACAUGCAAGUCGAACGAGUGGCGGACGGGUGAGUAAUGUCUGGGAAACUGCCCGAUGGAGGGGGAUAACUACUGGAAACGGUAGCUAAUACCGCAUACUAUCGGAUGAACCCAUAUGGGAUUAGCUAGUAGGUGGGGUAAAGGCUCACCUAGGCGACGAUCUCUAGCUGGUCUGAGAGGAUGACCAGCCACACUGGGACUGAGACACGGCCCAGACUCCUACGGGAGGCAGCAGUGGGGAAUAUUGCGCAAUGGGGGCAACCCUGACGCAGCCAUGCCGCGUGAAUGAAGAAGGCCUUCGGGUUGUAAAGUUCUUUCGGUAGCGAGGCGUUAACUACAGAAGAAGCACCGGCUAACUCCGUGCCAGCAGCCGCGGUAAUUC